AAGAGCCUAGUAAACACCCAUUACGUGGCUUUGUCGUAGCCAAAUCACAACAUUUGUGGCUCUUA
rnacentral:tRNA from 1 species